CGGCCGCGGUAUCCUGACCGUGCAAAGGUAGCAUAAUCAUUUGUUCCUUAAUUAGGGACUUGUAUGAAUGGCCCCACGAGGGUUUAACUGUCUCUUACUUUUAAUCAGUGAAAUUGACCUUCCCGUGAAGAGGCGGGAAUACAAAAAUAAGACGAGAAGACCCUAUGGAGCUUAAAUUAAUUCAUGAAUAAUAAAUUUUGGUUGGGGUGACCUCGGAGAAUAACUAAACCUCCGAGCAAUUACCAAGACUCACCAGUCAAGGCCAAUCCUAUUGAUCAACGAAACAAGUUACCCUAGGGAUAACAGCGCAAUCCUAUUUAAGAGUUCAUAUCGACAAUAGGGUUUACGACCUCGAUGUUGGAUCAGGACACCCAAAUGGUGCAGCAGCU
rnacentral:rRNA from 1 species